AGAAACUAAAACUUUCCCCACGCCUUAAUUGAGUAUUUGAACGUCCAAAAGAAAAAGUACGAUAGGGUAACAACUUUUUCUUUGCUUCAUCUUUUCUCAUUUAAACUUGGAUAAUGUUCUAAGGUUGAGUACUGAGUGCUAGUUAUUUUAAAGAAUGUACUACUUCCAUGAAAAUAUUCCUUACCGGAAUGGUAACAUUUCCAAAUUCUUGAGAGUUACACAUUUCAACUGGAAAACACAGUUUGAGAGACCUCAGCUUUAUCUGAACCUGCUGGUGAUGAAAUAAAACCAUUACAGAAAGGGUCUCAGUUAUCAAGACUCCUUUCCCUCCUUCCUGUACAUGGAUGAGCAUGGAGGUUCAAAGAGGUGGGGCGCUUCUCCACAGAGAGUCAGCGGCAGGCUAGGAUGAAAACCUAGUGCCCUGGGCUCCCGGCGCAGCGCUCACUCCACUUCCUCACUGAAAUAUGGUGCCUGAAUGAAGCUCUUCAUUUGACUCUUACAGGGAUCCCAGGUAAUAGAAGCAUGCGCCAUACCUCCUUGCCUAUGUUCUUCACUACAGCUCACCUCAGAGUCUCUUUUCCACUUCCCUCCUACCCACAUUUCUCUACCUGGGGCUAUCCCUGCACAUGUUCCUGAGUUAAUACUAGCAGCUGCUCCCUGGUGUCAGCCAUUUUCUUCCUCCCUCCCCACCCACCACUGGCCGAUACCAGUCUUGGGGCCCAGGUCUCAACCAGCCUCAUACUGUUGAGACUUCCAAGAGUCCUGCUGCAUCCACGGAGCACCACUAUGCUUCUUUCAGAGAUACCACCAUGUCUGCUAGGGACCAUUGUCACGUCUGCUGGGCACUGCAAUCAUGUCUGCUGGAGAUCAUUGUUAUGUCUGUUGGGAGCCAUACUGAUGCCUACUGGAUACUGUCGUCCCAUCAGUCUAGGGAAUACAGUCAUGUCUGCUGGAAAAAUCGGUCACAUUUGCUGGGGAUCACCUCUGAUGCUUCAGAUCCUGUGAGAUUCCAAAGCUGUGCAGCACGUUGCAGCUGUCCAUCUCAGGAGUAUUCCCUAACCAACCUCUUGCAUGCUGAUCUCCAUCUCAGAAUCUGUUUCCUAGGAAACCCACCUGCGACACAUCUUUAAAAGAAAGCUUUUUACCUGACACUCUGCCCAUCUUUCUAUGGCUGAGAAGAAAGCAUUCUCUUUCUACAGAGAGAGUGCUGGUGAGUGAGCUUUGGCCAUGUGGGUGAGGAGAAUGCCUUAUAAGGUGGAGGAGCAACAAGAUAAAGAAUACCUGGUCACUGGAUCACCUCAUGGAUCAAGAUCCCCACGAACCUUGGGCCACUGAACACCUGUAUGAUUCUAAUCCAUUAUGUGAGAGAAUAAUUAAAUUUGAUCUUAUUUGAGCCACUCUACUUUGGGAUCUCUAUGUUAGAGCAGUUUAGCCUAUACCCUAGGAGUUGGAGAAAGUGUGAUCAACUCCAGUCCGAUAAUUUACGACCUUAUAGACUGCAGGAAGGAUUCAAGACUUCAUCUUAAGGGCAAUGGGUCUUUGCUGCACCUUCAGGCAAUGUGUAUAUUGUUUAUCUAAAGAAAGAUCUGUAGACCAGAAUUGAGGUGCUUCAUACUUAGAGCAGAACUGCCUUGACCUAACUUUUUUAAAAAAAGAACAUUAUAGGGGGAUAUUUGUCCCCUAAAUUUAGUUUGAAUGACUCAAUCAAAAGACACUUUUUGCACU
ensembl:lncRNA